rnacentral:lncRNA from 1 species
GGUAUCGUUCCAGAGAGCUUUUACAUGAAGGAUAUGUGCGUUGACAUGCAUGACACCACGACGAUCACCGUUGGUCGCGGCUCGUGUCGCAAACUCAACUUCACAACUAAGAAAGCAAACAGCGUCCUCCGAUAUGAAUUCAUGACAAAAAAGAACAACAUUGACUUUGAGGUUACAUGGGUCAGCUUCCGUGAGGGCGCCAGCAGAGAUGACGUUGCUGUCGUGCUCCCUGUUCAUCGAUGCAACAGUCACAUGGUGCCUGAGAGCGGGGAACUCGAGUUGGAGCGGCCCGGAACAUGUGAGCCGGCAUCAACCUCGAGGCCGUGCAAGUCUUGAUAACUUUUACCCUGAAGAUUCCAGAGUAUUAUACGCAGCUUUCACAGCACGGACCAAAAUGAGCUAUACUAUAUUAUUACAAUAUUAUUACGUACAGUCCGGUUAAAUUGGCAACUUAUUGAGGUAUGAUUGUUCGCAAAAUGUAGGCUCUCCUAAAAGUACUUUCAGACCGAGUUGAUUUCGUUUCCCUUUUUUCCAGAUGUUGUUACUUUUGACAACAGUUUCAGCUGGACAACUGCGAAGACAGUGACUUAUAGCAUUCAGAUACUGGAAUCAGAAGGCAACGGGGAGACUGACAUUGGCAGUGUCUAGCACGACGCACAGGGAUGGAGGAUGAAGGAAUUAAGCCUGGACUAGGGGUGUAUUUGAUUACAUGUAGUGCAUUUUCCGCCACCCAAUGCAGUCUGGGAAUGCUUGAACUGGUUUCGGACAUCAGCAUUCCCUACAGUGAAAGCACUACUGUCAGAAAAAAGAAACUGUACGGAGUUCCUUGUCCCUUCCACGAACACCAGUGUCUUAAACUGUUAAAACCGUGAAUGUCAGUGGCUUCUUUCUGCCAAUCGGACUCGGGAUUUAAAGUUCGUUCACCUGUACUGUACUGACCAACCAUGUUCAUUUAUAAGCCUACAGCGACUAGGCAGCCCUCUUGUUUUGAAGGCCAUUUUUCGUAAACCUUUGAAAAGUUAUUUUUUAUUUUGAAAACAUUUCUUCUAUACCCCUAUGAAUCCAUCUUUCAUCUUUGACUUGAUAAGCAGGUACUAUACUAAAGAAAGUUAUUUUUUAUUUAUGCUUGACUUGUUUACUUCCAAUAAAUCUCUUUUAUUGGACAUCCAUAUCUUGCUUUUCUACCAUUUAAAGCAAUUUAACCAAACUGAGGCCAGUGGCUGGAAGGAAAAAUUGUCAUUCCCUUUUAUCAAUAUGUGCACUUGCAUUACCAUUGCCGAUGGGUCUACAGGGAACAAGACAAACACAGCAGGAUCAUGAUAAAGGUCCGUAGGUUUAAGCAUAAAAUGCUCAACCAGCUGUCGUCCGAUCCCAUGAUGCACGUACACGCGACGGUCACUCACGCAUAUGUCACACGUGUAGCCACCUGCUGAGAGCCCUUAUGAAACAAUGCGGCGCCCUCUUUUGUUUUGCACGCAAUUUGUAACUUCCACUGACACAUGAUUUCUUGUUGGUACCCAAAAUAAUCUAAAAGUGAAAGGUAACAUUUAAGCGAACUAAUGCAUUGCAUGUGUUGUGUUCACAUCAAAACCUUGCAAGAAUUACAUACAUUUAAAUCGGACAAUUAUGCUAUUACAAUAUGGAAUAGGCUAUUCAAGUACCAGUGAUAUAGUGACCUUCGACAAUACUGAUAUAAUAAUCGCGUCUUAAGUGAAAAUGUUCACAUAUAUCUGAAAUAAUGCAGUUGCUUCAGACAGAGCUAAGUAAACCCACGUUCGUUUCAACCGCGGGGGCACGUUCUCUGUUGAGAAACGAUCGCUUCAGUGACUCUCCGCCCUGAGCAGAAGCACCCCCUCAAUGGUUGAAAAGCCGGAGCUAUGGUGGUCGGGAGUGUUCAUUUUGUUGGAAGCAAUGCGACCUUAACGCGUGCGUUGCCCAGCUCGAGGCUCAUAACCCAUCGUAAAAAUAAUGCAAACAUUCACGGCAACACGCAUGGAAACGUGAUGCAUAUAUAUUGAUUUUGCAAAGCUGAGUCAAGCGGUUCUCCUCUCCACACAACUUCAGGAGAGAUUCUCACAAUACAAGGUGUGACCACAAUCUUCACAGUGAUGUACCGACAGAAACUUGUAUCAUAAAUAAUUUGGGUAGCAAUCAGCUAAAAUUCACCGCCCACAGCUUCCCAUUUUCUUCUUGAAUCAAUAAAAAAGAUAUUUAUACACUAUGAGACUUUGAGCUCAAGGGAGUAGAGGGAAGCCAUUUAAAAAUUGCUGCGAGCAGCCUUGGAGGAGAUUGUUUUGCGAAAAUAAAAAGACGUUUCAGAUAACCAAAAAAAAAUGGAAAAGAACUGAAAUUGAUUUGUGUUUUUAAACUUCAGUAAUGUCGGCUUGCAUGUUAUAGAGCCCUGAACUUUGUUGAUUUUACACGGUUUUACUCAGUUCACUGCACCUUUCUUAUAACGGCGACGUGUGGUGGCGCCCUUCAUUUGCUGUUGCCAUUUGAACGGGGCCGGCCGGUGAGCCGGCCUACCAGCCAGGCACUCGGUGCAUGACGUCACUACGCAAAACUCACGCUGCAUCGAAAACCCAUUUUACAUUACAGAACACGGAUUAUGGCGGAGUGACUGUGGACCUGACACACUGCAAACAACACGUGGGUGCAGGGGGUACAUGUGCACGUACUGUACAUUGUACAUGUGUGUACUGAGCGUACGACCAGCUUGAAUCCGUUUGUUUUCGCGUAUCAUCAAGAAAUAAGUCUUUGAGGAAUCGCUGGCACACUUACAUGAUGACAUUGAUGGAGAGGAAGUCAUUAAGAGAAGAAGAUGGAGCAAGAAGUGGCCAAUGAGUGGGCAGCAUCAACAAAAAGAGCAUAGAACCUGAAUUUGGGAAGGCCUCAUUGCUAGGUGAAUGUUCUGCCAUGGAUGCCCACAUGAACGUUGAGGCUGGCUAGCAUCAUGGUGCAAGUGGACUGACUGGUGAAAUCUCCAAAGCGAAGAAGCAGGCUCCGUUAUAAGUAGCACAGACCUCCUAUGAAAGCUGUGGAUAUGCCCCAGGCAAAGUAGACCAUGAUGCUGAUGAGAAGAGCGCCCUCACUUCCUUCAACCAGGAGAGAAGGAAGAUGGAGGACAAGAUCCUAUGAGACUCUACAGAGAUGAUUCCUGAGAAUGUCAAGGAGAGGAAAUAACUCCGAUAGAUGCCAGGCCUCACCUCCAUCACUGAGGAGGAACAGUUUCCAAGAGGGAUCCUCAUCAGAAUCUUAGGCAUUGAUUCACAAACAGGCAAG